rnacentral:misc_RNA from 1 species
GAGUUGUUCCUGACUUGCUUUUCACGCGGGCUCCCCGCAUACAUGUGCGGCCAACCGUUGUGGAGCUUGUCACUUCAGUGUCCGGCUAGAUGCAUUCAUUAGCUUGGGCAGAGGGUGAUCUUUGGUUUGUGCUUGUGUUGCUACCUCUGUGGGAAACAACGUCGUCUUGUGACGGCAUAUCAUGUUGCCUUUGAUUGUGAUUUUGAGAAAGUUGCGUGGGCAUUUGAAACAUCGGCUUUGAUCGAGAGCGAUUGAUGGGUACCGACUCGUCUGCAGAUCGCCUCGUUAUAUAUGGCUGCUCUCGUGGGUGCCGUGACUAUGUGGGUCAUUGUUGUCCUUUCGGUCUGCAUUUGACCUUGUAGUUCCCGCGUAACAGGUCGGGCAGUCCUGUACGUGUGAAGUUCUAUUUCUUAUGAGUGAUUGUCGGUGCGUGUGUGCGUGAUGGUAUAACCCGUCCUGGUGUGCCUCCGUAGCUCGCUCGCUCACAAUUUUGUCGUGCUACCUGGUUGAUCCUGCCAGU